rnacentral:rRNA from 1 species
AGAAUCAACGCUGGCGGCGUGCCUAACACAUGCAAGUCGAACGCGAAAGCCCCGCAAGGGGUAAGUAGAGUGGCAAACGGGUGAGUAACACGUGGGUGACCUGCCUUCGAGUGGGGGAUAACGUCCCGAAAGGGACGCUAAUACCGCAUGACAUCCUGCUUUUGGAAAAGCGGAGAUCAAAGCUGGGGAUCGCAAGACCUGGCGCUUGGAGAGGGGCCCGCGCCUGAUUAGCUAGUUGGUAGGGUAACGGCCUACCAAGGCAACGAUCAGUA